AAAAUAAAAUUUAAAAAAAUCAAAAUAAACUCCCAACUUGGGGAAUCCUUCCCGCCAUUUGAUAUAUGAACGUUUGAAUACUAUAUAGCAUAUUAUGGAGAAAAGAUUUGCCCCAAUUUUCAAAAUCCCUACUCUUUCUGUAUCUUAAAACCCUCUGAUUCUGGACGACCCUUCUCUGAAACAGAUCUGACAAUUGCCAGAAUUAACCCAACAUGCUAAACUCUAAAAGGCGCAGACUUGAAGAUCCACUUGAAACUGCAAGCUCAAGCAGGAACUCUCGCUACAAAAGUCAAGUACAAAGUCCAACAACUCCAGAUGGGGUUUCAGGCAGUAAAAAUCAAGAAACGGAUCAGUUAUUUGGUCAUGACUUGAGGCAAAUCCAUCAAGCUCAAAUGAAUAAAAUUAUCAUGGACAAGUUUGUAUCUGGUUUGGGUGCACUAGCAUCAUCAAUCCAAGUUGAGGCGAUUCAUGCGAAUUGUUUCAGCUUGUUUUGGCAAACAAAGUUACAAUCUUUCUAUCUACUUGCAAAGGCCAUGGAGAAAAAAUGCAACGGGAAUGCUAAUAUGAAGUUUUGGUUGUAUAGAACUUCCAAGGAAGAAAUCGUGCUGUCACAUGAGUUAAAAACUUUUGAGUUGCUUUGGCUUAGAACUUUGAGUUAAGUUUGAAGCUUUAUUUAUCUACAGACAAUAACAGAGAAAAUGAAACAAAGUCAUUAGUCGUA